rnacentral:lncRNA from 10 species
AACCCAACGCAGGCGGUGCCCUCCGCGGAGCACAAAGGCGGCUCGUUGACGGGGGAGCGGGUUACUAGCAUCCCCCUAAGAGGUUGGGGAACCAUGCCAGCAUGCUUACGCUACAAAAAGUCCUGUAAACACCACAAUUAAGCACAAGCACGGCUACCCCUUGAAAACUUACGGAUGGAGGGAGAAGUUAGGAAUUCGAAUAUUGACAAUAGUACCAUCUGUGGCACAUAUCCCAGAGGAGAAAAAAAAAAAACUAGCAGCAAAAUUAAAUUGGGGCGAAACGAUGGGGAUAAAGACUAGAAAAAAUGUAGGAGUAACAGGGGUAAUCGAACUGAAAUAGCAGACAUCUGAAAGAAAACUAGCAUCUGCUCCUUCUAACAACAGAGUUAAAUUUGUUGGAAAUGAAAGGAGAAAAUGCAGGCGAAGAAGUGAAAGGAAAACCUGCCUUCAAACUACAUGACAUAGUUUUUUGAUCUUGUACUACAGUUGUGUAAGAUGUCACCAUUGGAGGAAACUAGGUGAUAGGUACACGGGACUCUAGGUGCUGUAGUAUUUUUGCAAUUUCCUGUGUCUAUAAUUAUUUCCAAAUAAUAAGUGUUUUUAAAAGGAGAGAAUACUGAUCAGUGGCGACCAGGGCAAAGGGCUGGAGGAAGGGGGUGACUGAAAAGGAGCUUGAGAGCUUCUAUACCGUGAUUGUGUUGGUGACUAAACCACUGUUUGACAAAACCCAUAAGAGGUAUAAAUUUUACUGCAUGUGAAAUAGUUUAAAACUCAAAAUGAUGCGACUAAUAAAAAUGAACUUACACUAACAUUUUUUAGCAACUAUGGAUAUAAAUUAAUUGGUAGCUGCCAAUUUAGAUUAUCCAUUUAAUUUUUUUAAAAGCACAAGGCAGUGUGUUCUGAAUGAGAGCUUAAGUAGACCAGGUGUCUCCAUCAACUUUAAGUAUUUACCUUAAAAACGUAUUUCACAG